UACGGAGGUCGCAAGCGUUGAUCGGAAUUACUGGGCGUAAAGCGCACGCAGGCGGUUUGUUAAGUCAGAUGUGAAAUCCCCGGGCUCAACCUGGGAACUGCAUCUGAUACUAGCAAGCUUGAGGAUCGUAGAGGGGGGUAGAAUUCCAGGUGUAGCGGUGAAAUGCGUAGAGAUCUGGAGGAAUACCGGUGGCGAAGGCGGCCCCCUGGACGAAGCCUGACGCUGAGGUGCGAAAGCGUGGGGAGCAAACAGG
rnacentral:rRNA from 1 species